AGGGGGAUAACUACUGGAAACGGUAGCUAAUACCGCAUAACGUCUACGGACCAAAGUGGGGGACCUUCGGGCCUCACGCCAUCAGAUGUGCCCAGAUGGGAUUAGCUAGUAGGUGGGGUAAUGGCUCACCUAGGCGACGAUCCCUAGCUGGUCUGAGAGGAUGACCAGCCACACUGGAACUGAGACACGGUCCAGACUCCUACGGGAGGCAGCAGUGGGGAAUAUUGCACAAUGGGCGCAAGCCUGAUGCAGCCAUGCCGCGUGUGUGAAGAAGGCCUUCGGGUUGUAAAGCACUUUCAGCGAGGAGGAAGGGNAAUGUCUUAAUACGGCAUNACAUUGACGUUACUCGCAGAAGAAGCACCGGCUAACUCCGUGCCAGCAGCCGCGGUAAUACGGAGGGUGCAAGCGUUAAUCGGAAUUACUGGGCGUAAAGCGCACGCAGGCGGUUUGUUAAGUCAGAUGUGAAAUCCCCGCGCUUAACGUGGGAACUGCAUUUGAAACUGGCAAGCUAGAGUCUCGUAGAGGGGGGUAGAAUUCCAGGUGUAGCGGUGAAAUGCGUA
rnacentral:rRNA from 1 species